rnacentral:rRNA from 1 species
AGUGAACGCUGGCGGUAGGCCUAACACAUGCAAGUCGAACGGCAGCACAGUAAGAGCUUGCUCUUACGGGUGGCGAGUGGCGGACGGGUGAGGAAUACAUCGGAAUCUACUUUUUCGUGGGGGAUAACGUAGGGAAACUUACGCUAAUACCGCAUACGACCUACGGGUGAAAGCAGGGGAUCUUCGGACCUUGCGCGAUUGAAUGAGCCGAUGUCGGAUUAGCUAGUUGGCGGGGUAAAGGCCCACCAAGGCGACGAUCCGUACCUGGUCUGAGAGGAUGAUCAGCCACACUGGAACUGAGACACGGUCCAGACUCCUACGGGAGGCAGCAGUGGGGAAUAUUGGACAAAGGGCGCAAGCCUGAUCCAGCCAUACCGCGUGGGUGAAGAAGGCCUUCGGGUUGUAAAGCCCUUUUGUUGGGAAAGAAAAGCAGCAGGUUAAUACCCCGCUGUUCUGACGGUACCCAAAGAAUAAGCACCGGCUAACUUCGUG